rnacentral:rRNA from 1 species
AUGCACGCUGGCGGCGUGCCUAAUACAUGCCAGUCGAGCGAACGGACGAGAAGCUUGCUUUUCUGAUGUUAGCGGCGGACGGGUGAGUAACACGUGGAUAACCUACCUAUAAGACUGGGAUAACUUCGGGAAACCGGAGCUAAUACCGGAUAAUAUUUUGAACCGCAUGGUUCAAAAGUGAAAGACGGUCUUGCUGUCACUUAUAGAUGGAUCCGCGCUGCAUUAGCUAGUUGGUAAGGUAACGGCUUACCAAGGCAACGAUGCAUAGCCGACCUGAGAGGGUGAUCGGCCACACUGGAACUGAGACACGGUCCAGACUCCUACGGGAGGCAGCAGUAGGGAAUCUUCCGCAAUGGGCGAAAGCCUGACGGAGCAACGCCGCGUGAGUGAUGAAGGUCUUCGGAUCGUAAAACUCUGUUAUUAGGGAAGAACAUAUGUGUAAGUAACUGUGCACAUCUCGACGGUACCUAAUCAGAAAGCCACGGCUAACUACGUG